GAUGAACGCUGGCGGCGUGCCUAAUACAUGCAAGUCGAGCGAAUGGAUUAAGAGCUUGCUCUUAUGAAGUUAGCGGCGGACGGGUGAGUAACACGUGGGUAACCUGCCCAUAAGACUGGGAUAACUCCGGGAAACCGGGGCUAAUACCGGAUAACAUUUUGAACCGCAUGGUUCGAAAUUGAAAGGCGGCUUCGGCUGUCACUUAUGGAUGGACCCGCGUCGCAUUAGCUAGUUGGUGAGGUAACGGCUCACAAAGGCAACGAUGCGUAGGAGACCUGAGAGGGGGAUCGGCCACACGGGGACUGAGACACGGCCCAGACUCCGACUGGAGGCAGCAGGAGGGAAUCUUCCGCAAUGGACGAAAGUCUGACGGAGCAACGCCGCGUGAGUGAUGAAGGCUUUCGGGUCGUAAAACUCUGUUGUUAGGGAAGAACAAGUGCUAGUUGAAUAAGCUGGCACCUUGACGGUACCUAACCAGAAAGCCACGGCUAACUACGUGCCAGCAGCCGCCGUAA
rnacentral:rRNA from 1 species